UGGGGAAUAUUGCACAAUGGGCGAAAGCCUGAUGCAGCGACGCCGCGUGAGGGAUGACGGCCUUCGGGUUGUAAACCUCUUUCAGCAGGGAAGAAGCGAAAGUGACGGUACCUGCAGAAGAAGCGCCGGCUAACUACGUGCCAGCAGCCGCGGUAAUACGUAGGGCGCAAGCGUUGUCCGGAAUUAUUGGGCGUAAAGAGCUCGUAGGCGGUUAGUCGCGUCUGCUGUGAAAACUCGAGGCUCAACCUCGGGCUUGCAGUGGGUACGGGCUGACUAGAGUGCGGUAGGGGUGACUGGAAUUCCUGGUGUAGCGGUGGAAUGCGCAGAUAUCAGGAGGAACACCGAUGGCGAAGGCAGGUCACUGGGCCGCAACUGACGCUGAGGAGCGAAAGCAUGGGGAGCGAACAGGAUUAGAUAGCCCUGGUAGUCCAUGCCGUAAACGUUGGGCACUAGGUGUGGGG
rnacentral:rRNA from 1 species